rfam:Schistosoma rodhaini strain Burundi genome assembly, scaffold: SROB_scaffold0021916
AGCUUUCUGAAUCCGUGCUGAGAUUUCUUCAGACACCAACCCAUUAGGCCUGAUCAAACUUCCAAGAUAAGUGAAGUU